rnacentral:snRNA from 1 species
GUGCUUGCUUUGAGAGCACAUAUACUAAAAUUAGAAUAAUACAGAGAAGAUUAGCAUGGCCCCCUACACAAAGAUAACCCAAAUUUGUGAAGUGUUCCAUAUUUAA